GCCACUUGCAGAUCUAAUGUGGGGGCCUGGUGGUCCUGGGAUACCGGUCUGGCCAGGUGGACCUUAGACACAGGAGAAAAGCACACUGUGUUGACCAGAGGCACCUGAAAGUGCAUGGGAAUGUGUGAAGAACUGAUGUAUCUGGCUAGCUGAGACCCUGGGCAGACUACUGCUGCUGCCUGAAACCCCAGUUCCCCCUUCUGUCCUUUCUCAAGACGAAUGUUCACACAGCCACUGUCUCCUGGAGGCCCUCUUU